rnacentral:lncRNA from 1 species
CACGCACUCCCCCGCGGCGCGAGGGUUUAAGGACAAAAACGGCGGCAGCCAGCGAGCGUCGCAGGAAUGGCCACUCACUCGCUGUAGGGUUUUGCGCCCUCGCCGCCUUCCGUCUCCGCCUCCGCCCCCCGCCGCCCGAAUCGACUGAACAGCUGCCGCCGCCGGACGCGGGUUCGCGGAGGAGGAGAAGCGGCGGCAGCAGCUGAGCCGAGCCGAGAGGGUGGUGGAUGGCCGCCGCGCGCUGAGCCUCCGGCACUCCGCGCGCUCCGGUGUGCUCGCGCCCGCGCC